rnacentral:rRNA from 1 species
UACGGAGGGGGCUAGCGUUGUUCGGAAUUACUGGGCGUAAAGCGCACGUAGGCGGCUUUGUAAGUUAGAGGUGAAAGCCCGGGGCUCAACCCCGGAAUUGCCUUUAAGACUGCAUCGCUUGAACACGGGAGAGGUGAGUGGAAUUUACGGUGUAGCGGUGAAAUGCGUAGAUAUCGUAAGGAAGACCAGUGGCGAAGGCGGGUCUCUGGACAGUUACUGACGCUGAGGCACGAAGGUCAGGGGAGCAAACGGG